CCCACAAAUCUCUCCCACAAAUCUCUCCCAUAUCCCCAACCCCCUUCCCACUAUAUUAAAUCCUAUAUCAGUUAUUCCUUCCCUCAAUCGUUCUCUGCAGUCAAUCCGUCUUCUUCAACUUCUAUCCAAGUAAUCAAAAUUCUCCAGCCCCAAGAACCUGCCUUUCAGCCUUGUGAACUUCAACCCAAAUUCAAUUCAAAGAGGUGAAUCAUCGCAAGGAAAUCGUGAUCGCAAAGGAAAGAACGUAAUUUCAAACUAAGCA